rnacentral:sRNA from 1 species
CAGCCAGGACCUGCUCUGGGGAAAUGAAGUGAAUGUGGGUAUCCACUGCACCAGCGGUGACGAUCUUGCCCUCGCCGCCGAUGACCUCGGUUGCGACGCCGACAACGAUGUCGAUGCCAUCCUGGAUAUCUGGGUUACCUGCACGGCCGAUCUUGAGGAUCUUGCCGUCCUUGAUGCCGAUGUCAGCAACGUAGAUACCGGUGUAGUCAAUAAUGAUCGGGCCGGUAAUGACGAGGUCCGGAAUCAGUUCUUCACCAGUAACACGGGAGUUCUGACCCAUGCCGUCGCGG